AUGGCUAGGGUUUCGGGCGUCGAUCCGGUGCCGGUGGCCAUGUCGUCCUCGUCUCAUCCGACGUGCGGGGAGGAAUGGGCAGUGGACAACCUUGCUGCGGCUCGGGAUGAAGCAGCCACGAGCUUCCUCCUCCUCCGGCUUCAGUGGAGGUUUACCAACGGUAGUUUGAAGCAGAUUAGGCGGCCGCGGGAUCUUCGGCGGCGAGGCCGUCCAGUGAAGGAAAUGGCGGUCUGGCGAUUUGUGUUCUAUUCUCCAUCCUUUAAGCUCAUAACAGAAGAAAGAACUAUACAAUCACUAUUGUUUUAUUAA
rnacentral:rRNA from 1 species